AUACAAACGAACAGAUAAAUAUAUAUAUGUAUAUGUGUGUACGCGCGCGAAUACGUUGCACAAUGGUGUUAAAAUAUUGAACAAGUUUCAGUUCGAAAGAAAAAGUGGCGCAAUAAAUAACACGGUGAAAAUAACGAGAAGGUAUAACAUGGGAUAAAAAAUUAAAAGAGAAAAGUAUUUAAUGAAAUAUAGACGUGAGAAUAUAAUGGCAAAUAAUUGUGAAUAACAACUAUGGAAAAAUUGGAAAAAAAAUAGAGGUUAGGUGAAAAGAUUGGGGAGGGGAAAAUGGAACUGAGAAAGAAAAUUAGUCGAACGAAGCGAACGAUACAUUAGAAUAUCUACGAUUCAUGUGAUUGUAAAUAUAUAGUAUAUAAAUAACGUAACGUUAAUUAACGAUAUGCCGUACGUGUUACACUAAAGAAACAAACAAGAAAAAAAUAAAUAACGUUACUGUGUAAUUUUUCGGAUCGUAAACGCAUUCGAAUGGGUCUGGCCGCCCGUGCUAACCGGCUCGAGAUUGUGUUCAGACCAGACAACAGCUGGUUUCGAGAGUUUGAGAUCGAGAAUAUUCGUGUCGUUUGAUUCGUUCAAAUUUUAAUCGAUCAUUAGUCAAUCUAUUGCAAACUUCUGUACAUUCCUUUAAUCGAUAAAUAACGUACAUAUUUAAUUACAUUUUUCUUGAAUUCAAUCGAAUCUAUUGCAAGAACGUUCUCGAGAGAUUCUCGAUAUGUGAAGACGUUUGCAAGAAUAAACACGACAAGAAGAAAAUAAAGUGAAAAAAAAUGAAAAAAUUAAAAGUGCGGGAAAAGAUUAGAAGACAAGUAAAAGGCAGCACCGUCGCGUAUUUCUGGCACAUCGGUGCAUCGAGCAACAAAAAGAAACGCAGCUAUGUUCAGUGCGUUUCUGGAUAGCACGGGCUGGCCACACGCGAUUAGAUGUAACACUAAUUAACGCCUAGCGUAAGAACGGAUAUAAAUGAAGGAUUAUAUUGUCUGAUAUAAUGUAACCAGGUAUGGACGUACACGCGUAUACGUGAAUUUUUCGCGGCAAUCAGUGAUUGUGUGUGCAUGAAACUACACGCGUGUGAAACUGUGUGCGAACAGACGAAUGAUAUUGAAGGGAAGAGAGAAAAAAAGAAUGUAUGCUUGUACAUGCGAUACUCGAAGAAGGAACGAAAGAAAAUGAAAGAAAGGGAGAGAAAGAGAGAGAGUGCGAAAGAAAAAUAGAGAAAAAGUGUGAAAGGGUAUCAUGACAACAGGGACGAGGAGAACUGUCCCGUUCUAUGUGUGUAAGAACCAUAAAGCUUAAUGAAGAACAUUAUACUAUGAAUUACGGGAUACUAAAUAAAAGUAAGCCAAACCGUUAA